rnacentral:rRNA from 1 species
GACAGAGGGUGCAAACGUUGUUCGGAAUUACUGGGCGUAAAGCGCGUAUAGACGACCCUGCAAGUCGGAUGUGAAAUCCCACGGCUCAACCAUGGAAGUGCAUUCGAAACUGCAGAGCUAAAGUCCUGGAAAGGAAGGUGGAAUGCUUGGUGUAAAAAUGAAAUUCGUAGAUAUCAAGCGGAACACCGGUGGCGAAGGCGGCCUUCUGGACAGAGACUGACGCUGAGACGCGAAAGCGUGGGGAGCAAACAGG